rnacentral:misc_RNA from 1 species
GUACUCUCACACUCCCGAUCUUUGGAUUGGGAGCGGUGGACUUGGGUGUUGCUGCUUCACUGUGGCUCACCUCAAAUAUGGUAGUGCACCUCUCAGUUGGACAUAGUACGGCGUGAUAAGUGUCUUCGCCGGCACCUCGAAAGGGGGUGGCUGAUUGGGAGCUCUGUGCUUUCAAACUGCCUUUGGACAAUCUCUGACA